rfam:Schistosoma curassoni strain Dakar, Senegal genome assembly, scaffold: SCTD_contig0005025
GCGCUGCGGAGGAGUCCCAAACUAGGACGAAACGGCCGUCCAGUGC